AGAUUCCUGGGAUGUUCGACAAUCCUGUUAUUUUGAACCUACAUUUACUUUUAUGGGAUUCUUAUAUCGCCAUAUGCAAUGACAGGCCGCCGUUUGCAGCGGAAGCCAGAACAUAUGGCUGCGGAUACCCACCUAGCUUUGCUAGGAGUCAAAAUACAGGAAACGGCAUUUUGGGAAUUUU
rnacentral:other from 2 species